rnacentral:rRNA from 1 species
UGGGGAAUAUUGCACAAUGGGCGCAAGCCUGAUGCAGCCAUGCCGCGUGUGUGAAGAAGGCCUUCGGGUUGUAAAGCACUUUCAGCGAGGAGGAAGGUGGUGAGCUUAAUACGCUCAUCAAUUGACGUUACUCGCAGAAGAAGCACCGGCUAACUCCGUGCCAGCAGCCGCGGUAAUACGGAGGGUGCAAGCGUUAAUCGGAAUUACUGGGCGUAAAGCGCACGCAGGCGGUUUGUUAAGUCAGAUGUGAAAUCCCCGGGCUCAACCUGGGAACUGCAUUUGAAACUGGCAAGCUAGAGUCUCGUAGAGGGGGGUAGAAUUCCAGGUGUAGCGGUGAAAUGCGUAGAGAUCUGGAGGAAUACCGGUGGCGAAGGCGGCCCCCCUGGACGAAGACUGACGCUCAGGUGCGAAAGCGUGGGGCAGCAAACAGGAUUAGAUACCCUGGUAGUCCACGCUGUAAAACGAUGUCGAUUUGGAGGUUGUGCCCCUUGAGGCGUGGCUUCCGGAGCUAACGCGUUAAAUCGACCGCCUGGGGAGUACGGCCGCAAGGUUAAAACUCAAAGGAAUUGAC